CCUACGGGGGACAGCAGUGAGGAAUAUUGGUCAAUGGGCGCGAGCCUGAACCAGCCAAGCCGCGUGAGUGAAGACGGUCCUAUGGAUUUUAAACCUCUUUUGUCGGGGAGCAAAAGACGCCACGCGUGGCGUUCCGAGUGUACUCUCUGAAAAAGCAUCGGCUAACUCCGUGCCAGCAGCCGCGGUAAUACGGAGGAUGCGAGCGUUAUCCGGAUUUAUUGGGUUAAAGGGGGGCGCAGGCGGAAGAUCAAGUCAGCGGUAAAGUUGAGAGGCUAAACCUCUUCUAGCCGUUGAAACUGGUUUUCUUGAGUGAGGGAGAGGUAUGCGGAAUGCGUGGUGUAGCGGUGAAAUGCAUAGAUAUCACGCAGAACUCCGAUUGCGAAGGCAGCAUACCGGCGCUCAACUGACGCUCAUGCACGAAAGUGUGGGUAUCGAACAGGAUUAGAUACCCGAGUAGUC
rnacentral:rRNA from 1 species